rnacentral:rRNA from 1 species
UUGCUCUUCAACGAGGAAUUCCUAGUAAGCGCGAGUCAUCAGCUCGCGUUGACUACGUCCCUGCCCUUUGUACACACCGCCCGUCGCUCCUACCGAUUGAAUGAUCCGGUGAAAUGUUCGGAUCGCGGCGACGUGGGCGGUUCGCUGCCCGCGACGUCGCGAGAAGUCCAUUGAACCUUAUCAUUUAGAGGAAGGAGAAGUCGUAACAAGGUUUCCGUAGGUGAACCUGCGGAAGGAUCAUUGUCGAAACCUGCACAGCAGAACGACCCGCGAACUCGCUUUAAACACCGGGGGCGGCGCUCGCUCGUCGCGCGCCUNCCCCCCGUCGCCCGAGGCGCGCAAGCUCUUCGGGCGACCAACGAACCCCGGCGCGGAAAGCGCCAAGGAAUACUACAAUCGACAGCCCUCCCCCUCGCGCCCCGUUCGCGGAUCGUGCGGGGGGAAGCGCGCUGCUCUGUUAACACAAACGACUCUCGGCAACGGAUAUCUCGGCUCUCGCAUCGAUGAAGAGCGUAGCGAAAUGCGAUACUUGGUGUGAAUUGCAGAGUCCCGUGAACCAUCGAGUCUUUGAACGCAAGUUGCGCCCGAGGCCACUCGGCCGAGGGCACGCCUGCCUGGGCGUCACGCCAAAACACGCUCCCAACCACCCUCAUCGGGAAUCGGGACGCGGCAUCUGGUCCCUCGUCUCGCAAGGGGCGGUGGACCGAAGAUCGGGCUGCCGGUGUACCGCGCCAGACACAGCGCAUGGUGGGCGUCCUUGCUUUAUCAACGCAGUGCAUCCGACGCGCAGCCGACAUUAUGGCCUCAGAACGACCCAGCAAACGAAGCGCACGUUGCUUCGACCGCGACCCCAGGUCAGGCGGGACUACCCGCUGAGUUUAAGCAUAUCAAUANAGCGGAGGA